UCCAGACUCCUACGGGAGGCAGCAGUGGGGGAUAUUGCACAAUGGGGGGAACCCUGAUGCAGCGACGCCGCGUGGGUGAAGGAGCGUUUCGGCGCGUAAAGCCCUAUCGGCAGGGAAGAAGGAGGACGGUACCUGACUAAGAAGCCCCGGCUAACUACGUGCCAGCAGCCGCGGUAAUACGUAGGAGGCAAGCGUUAUCCGGAUUUACUGGGUGUAAAGGGGGCGCAGACGGCAGCGCAAGCCAGGAGUGAAAGCCCGGGGCCCAACCCCGGGACUGCUCUUGGAACUGCGCGGCUGGAGUGCAGGAGGGGCAGGCGGAAUUCCUGGUGUAGCGGUGAAAUGCGUAGAUAUCAGGGGGAACACCGGUGGCGAAGGCGGCCUGCUGGACUGCAACUGACGUUGAGGCCCGAAAGCGUGGGGAGCAAACAGGAUUAGAUACCCGGGUA
rnacentral:rRNA from 1 species